rnacentral:rRNA from 1 species
UGCCAGCCGCCGCGGUAAUACGGAGGGUGCAAGCGUUGUUCGGAAUUAUUGGGCGUAAAGCGCGUGUAGGCGGUUCGUUAAGUCUGAUGUGAAAGCCCGGGGCUCAACCGAGGAACUGCAUUCGAUACUGGUCAGCUAGAGUGCGAGAGGGGUGAGUGGAACUCCAGGUGUAGCGGUGAAAUGCGUAGAUAUCUGGAGGAACGCCGGUGGCGAAAGCGACUCACUGGCUCGCAACUGACGCUGAGGCGCGAAAGCUAGGGGAGCGAACGGGAUUAGAUA